AGUAAGGUUGACUGAGGUGAAUUGGAAGAAGAAGGAGAAGGAGACGUCAUGAUAAUCACAUCAUCGCUGGUUUCUUUCGGUAGGAAGGCUGGUUUAAGACGUUCUGUGGUGAUAUUGACAAUUUUUCCUGCAACAUCGAUUGCAAAUAGAUUAUCAUUAAUUCUAUUAACAAUACGAAAAGGGCCAAUAAGGAGGUUGAAGAGAUUUCCUAACUGCAUCUUCACGAAUCCAAACAUGAGUGCAAUCAUAUAAAUUUUUAUGAAAGAAAGGGUCAGAUGGAAGAUCCUCUUCAAUGAAAAAUUCUCCCGGAAUUCUUAAUGUAGAUCCAUAAAGCAUUUCCGCAGGAGAUGCAUUCAAAUCUUCUUUAAAGCAAGUACGAAGUCCAAGUAAAACUGUUGGCAAAAUUUCAAUCCAGUUUUCAUUUGCGUGACACAUAAUAGCACUCUUCAAUGUACGGUGCCAUCGUUCCAGAAUACCAUUAGAAGCCGGAUGAUAAGCUGAGGUUCUAAUACGCUCGCAACCAAUUAGGUUGGUGAGAGCCUUAAAUAAUGCAGCUUCAAAUUGAGGACCUUGGUCGGUUGUGAUCGUCUGCGGAGCACCAUACCUCGCAACCCAGUGCGUAUAAAAAGCUGUAGAAACAGUAUCAGCUGAAAUUUCAGUAAGAGGGAUUGCUUCCGGCCAUCUAGAAAAUCUGUCAAUCAUGGUUAAACAAUAACGAAAAUUUUGACAAAUAGGAAGAGGUCCAAUCAAAUCUAGAUGAAUAUGCUGAAAACGCUGAUCUGGAAUAGCAAUCUUUUGAGGAAGAUUCUUGUUUGCAGGUAGAACGACCACUUGGAUGAGAUAAACCAUGAACAACAUCAAAAAUUUUCCUACGAAGCUGUUGAGGUACAUAAGGACGGAUAUUAACAGUAGAGCAGUCACAGAAAAUAGGCGUAGUCGAGCCAAGAAACUAUGAUAGGCAUCGAAACGGAUUCAAUUCUAGAGAGUGAAUCUGCAACUACAUUUUGUUUACCAG